rnacentral:rRNA from 1 species
AAACUAACAAGGAUUCCCCUAGUAACGGCGAGUGAACCGGGAAGAGCUCAAAUUUGAAAUCUGGCGUCCUCAGGGCGUCCGAGUUGUAAUCUAUAGAGGCGUUUUCCGUGCCGGACCGUGUCCAAGUUCCUUGGAACAGGAUAUCAAAGAGGGUGACAAUCCCGUACUUGACACGACGACCGGUGCUCUGUGAUACGUCUUCUACGAGUCGAGUUGUUUGGGAAUGCAGCUCAAAAUGGGUGGUGAGUUCCAUUUAAAGGUAAAUAUUGGCGAGAGACCGAUAGCGAACAAGUACCGUGAGGGAAAGAUGAAAAGCACUUUGGAAAGAGAGUUAAACAGUACGUGAAAUUGUUGAAAGGGAAACGAUUGAAGUCAGUCGUGACCGAGAGGCUCAGCCGGUUCUGCCGGUGUAUUCCCCUCGGUCGGGUCAACAUCAGUUUUGUCCGGUGGAUAAGGACGGUAGGAAGGUGGCACCCUCGGGUGUGUUAUAGCCUGCCGUCGCAUACAUCGGGUGAGACUGAGGAACGCAGCUCGCCUUUAUGGCCGGGGUUCGCCCACGUCCGAGCUUAGGAUGUUGACAUAAUG